rnacentral:sRNA from 1 species
UGCUUUGAGGGCUAUCUGGCUGUAACAUCUGUCACCCCAUUGAUCUCCAGCGUGGAUUCAGCUGAUCUGGCUGGCUAGGCGGGUGUCCCCUUCCCCUUCCUCCCUCACCCCUCCACGUGCAGCUCUCCGGAAACUAUGCGCGCAAUAAAGAGGCUGGCCUUCCCUGGAUAGAGACAGACAGGUCUUGGUCAAGGGUAUACGAGUAGCUGUGCUCCCCUGCUAGGACCUCUAUACAAGCUCUCAAUAAUAUAGAAAUCACUCAUAAAUAGUAAAGAAAAAUUGCUUCCUUUUUAUUGAUCCUUAUUAAAAAUUUGUAGGAGUUUU